rnacentral:rRNA from 1 species
GGACCCGCACAAGCGGUGGAUGAUGUGGAUUAAUUCGAUGCAACGCGAAAAACCUUACCUACCCUUGACAUGGAAGGAAUCCUGGAGAGAUCUGGGAGUGCUCGAAAGAGAACCUUUACACAGGUGCUGCAUGGCUGUCGUCAGCUCGUGUCGUGAGAUGUUGGGUUAAGUCCCGCAACGAGCGCAACCCUUGUCAUUAGUUGCUACGCAAGAGCACUCUAAUGAGACUGCCGGUGACAAACCGGAGGAAGGUGGGGAUGACGUCAAGUCCUCAUGGCCCUUAUGGGUAGGGCUUCACACGUCAUACAAUGGUACAUACAGAGGGCCGCCAACCCGCGAGGGGGAGCUAAUCCCAGAAAGUGUAUCGUAGUCCGGAUUGUAGUCUGCAACUCGACUACAUGAAGUUGGAAUCGCUAGUAAUCGCGGAUCAGCAUGUCGCGGUGAAUACGUUCCCGGGUCUU